UCAGUUUGUAUAAUUUAUUAUAAUUUUCCAUAUCUUAGUAGCACAAGGGUUUGGCACAUGAAAGUACAUUGUAUCCAUCAUUUCCAUAGCAUUCACCAUUCGCAACAGCACCAUAUGGAACGGUCGCAAUGACUUUUUUCAAAGUUGUAACCACGCCAUUCACAGCUAAGCUUGCACAUAGCAACAUUGUUGGGCGUUGGUAUCUGGCAUGCUCGGAAAGGAGUACACGAAGUCCACAAUCCAGUUGUACCUACAAACAACAAGGUAUAUAUAGCAUCCCCGUUCAUAUUAGCAUAUGUAGUAUAAGUUGCAUGAGUUUAGAUUAUAUGAAUAUCCAAGGUACAUCAUACAUAAUUGGACUAUUGUAAACAUAAACAAAGAGUGUACCUCUGUUUAUCGUAGUUGCUUGACAUGACCAUAAAGUGCUAGACAUCAUCAGAAGAACUACGAAACAUAUAGCCUAUGUGUUGUUCUUGAUAGGUGCCAUGAGGAGUGGUUUCUUAUUCCUUUUUCCUCCUAUACCUGUAUUCUUUAUGGGCGAUAUCUCUCAACCUAUAUUUCUUAUUGUGUUAUUUAUUAGAGGCAUAAAUCUCGAAGGACCCAUUCUUGCUCUUAUAUUAUUUCUCACAUUUAUGUUUUGAUCAUCAUGUGUUUAUAUAUAGUCACUUGAUGUCCGCAAGGUCACUAUAGCAUUUAGAUAUGAUAUAUCAAAAUAUAUCUUGUGGAGAACAUGUUACUAAAUGCAACCUAGAUUUUGAUAUUUGAAAUUAAUCACUACUCUGAAAUACCAUACAUAUAGCACAUUAAGUUGUGCCCCCGCAAAAAAAGCAUAUUAAAUAUGUAUCUUCAGUAGUAGUUGUUCUAUCAUGUAGCAUAGUAGACCCAUGUAAGAAAAACAUAUCGGAUAAUAAUCACAACAUUAUUUCUUUAGGAUUCCACAACAUUAAACCAUUAUAUUAUGUCUUUAGCACUCAAUGUAACAAGCAGAAAAGGCCACCCGAAAUAGUUAGAAAUAAGCCUGUAGAUAACCUCUACUACCGGGUUUUGCAUGCACGCAGUUUGCAAAAGGGACACGAAAGAAAGUUGACCCCUUUUUCUUUGAGCAAAAAAACCCUUGUCUUGUGGGCAGAGAUAGGCCCAGAUACACAAGGCCGCAACACGGGGCUUGAUUAUAUUUACGACAGAUAUGUUCACUAGCCCACCAACUUGCCUUUCCUUCGCUUCGAGGUUUUCUUAGUGGAAUUCCCUAUUUGCCGCUCAUUACGUCGAACUGUCGAUGCAAAGCACAGAGCUGGGGAUUGAAGCGCUCACAUGGGCCGGCCCGUUAAUCAAUUGGGUCACUUUCUGGUUUUGGGAACCUUCUAGAGUUUCCUAGCCGAGUUUUUCUGGUUUUGGGAAACUUCUAGAAGGUUCCUUGAACCGUAUUUCUUUUUGUCGAUAUUUCUGUUUCUUUUUUUUUUCUUUUUUUAUUUCUUUUCAUUUCCUUUUCUAUUUCUUUUUUUUCAUUUCCUUUAUAUUUCAAGUCCAUUUUUUUAAAACAAAUCAGGUUUCAAAUUUUGUUCAGAAACUGAAAAAAAAUCGUACUUUUACAGUAUUUUCAAUUUUGUAAAAAAUUUCGUGCUUUCAAAAAUUGUUCAUAAAUUCAAAUAAUGUUCGCAUUUUCAAAAAAUUGUACGGGCAUUUCAAAAAGUGUUCCCAUUUUCCAUAAAUUGUUCAGAAUAUUUUUUUUAUUUUUUGUAACUUUUCAAAUAAUGACUGGGAUUUAAAAAAUGUUUAUGUUUUAAAAAAUUGUUCUUGUUUCCAAAUUUUGCUGACAUAUUCAAAAAUGUUCAUGUUCCAAAUUUGAUUGGAAUUUUUAAAAUUGUUCUCUGUUUCUAACUUUGGUCUAAAAAUGUUCUUGUUUCCAUUUCUGUUUCUUUCUUUGUUUCUUUUUAAUUUUUAUGUUUUUUUCGAAAAAAUUUCAUUUUUCAAAAAUUGUUCGUAACCUUUAAAAAGUUGUUCCCACUUUUAAAAAACGUUCAUUUUUUUAAAAAUGUUCGUGUUUUCCAAAUUUGUUCAUAAAUUCAAAAAAUGUUUGCAUUUUAAACAAAAUGUUUUGGAAUUUAAAAAAUGUUGCCUUUUAAAAAAAGGUUUGUCUUUGCAAAUGGCAACCCCUCGCAAUGAACGUUCGCCAGCUAUUGCAGUCUAAAAGAUGAUGUGUCCAGAUCUGUAGUCUGAAGAGGUGUGAGCGUUUUGUAAAAUAUUGACAAUUUUAAAAACUGCACACGAUUUUGUUUACAAGAUUUUGACAAAUUUGAUGUAUUUUAGUUUUAUUUGAAAUAAACAAAUAUUUUCCUUUUAGGGGAAAGUGAAAACCUGUAAAAGCAUAUAAAAUCACUAGAAACACAUAGCGUCAUUUAGGAGCUCCCUUUGCUGAUCUGUUGCAAUAUAGAUCUUGAGUCAUCUUAUAACUCACUCACUGCAAUGUUAUUGAUGGCAAAACGCACAUGGAAAAAGGAUUUCCUUCUUGAGCCACGUGGCUCAGAUCGCUCCCAAUUUUCUUUCUCUUUUUUUAUCCAGAUUUCCGUCAGUUUAAACCAAAAAAUAGCUCUCUUGCUUAUGUAGUUAAAUUCAAAAAAUAUCAAACAGUGAUAUAAAAGUACAUGAUUUUACAUGAAUAAUUAAACUGUUUGUGAAUUUUCAAAAAUGAUCUUGAAUUAACAAAAUGUUCAUAGGUGUAAACAUAUGUUCUUCUUUAUAAAAAUGCUUAGGAAUUUAUAAAAUUGUGGAAUUUAUAAAAAUACGAAAUUCAAUAAUGUUCUAUAAUCUUCAAAAAAUGUUGGUGUUUUUAAAAAACACGUAUUUCAACAAUAAUUGUAGUUUGAAAAGGAUUAUGUAUUUCAUAAUAUAUUCUUUAAUUUCAAAAUUGUACAUAAUUUUAAUAAAUGUUCAUGAAGUUGAAAUUCAUAAAUAAAAAUAAAAAGUAUAGAGAAAAAUCAGAUGGAAAUCCUAGAAAACCACAAGAACAUGGGGCGUGAUGUGCACUCUACCUAUGCAUUAAUCGAAUACUUUUUUGCAAUGAGCGACAACUACAUUUUACAAUGGCUUGCUACACGCAUGAGCUGUUGCUCCCAUGUCCUAGUAGAUCGGGAUCGCGCCUUGACGCGAGGGUGCCGGUCCCAAUGUUUUGCCGAAGCACUAUUUUAGUAUAAACCCAGGUAUAGUAUUUGCACUUAUAUAGAAUAAUAAAGCAAAUUUAGAUAGAAGUAAAACAAAAUGAAUCUCAAUACCGACAUGAGAUUAUAAGGCAGGAUCAAACUAAGUGUGUUCAUAAGACCAUAAAAGAUGGCCACUCAACAUAAAAUUCGAUACCAAAAGCGAGAAUACAUAAAAGGUAAUAAGAACAAGAAGAUAAUAAAGGAGAGCCAAUUGUGGAGCCAUAACCACUAAGCAUACGGGAGGAGCUCCAUUGUGUUAGCCACCUCAGUCUUGCGAUGCUUGGCAUCCUGUAGCCACCUCUUUCUUCAGAUUUUGGAGCCUCUUAGAAUAUAUAAAUGGUAUAGGUGCCCUGUCAAGGAAAAAAAAUAGAUAAAUACAGAUUGUGUGUCUUAUUUUUAUUGUGGUGUCAAUCGAGGAAAAAGGAUGAUGCACGACUACAGAACACCAAACUACAAUCCGAUGAUCAACCAACUAUACAAAUCAUAGAGGGAUCUCCUGGGCACUAAGCCCUUAUAAAAGGGUUUCAAGGUAUCCACUUUAUCACCAGCCUACAAAUAAAAUAUAUAAGGUGGGGGCAAGGGAAGGACUAAAAUAAAAAGAAGUACUCGCUUGGUAAUGCAUACUGGAAAGACAUGUUGCUGGUAAGGAUCUCCUCUACUCAGGAAAAAUAAAAAGAUAGGAGGCGCGUGGUGCCUGCCUCAACAUAUUGUCCAUGUGCUUAAACAAAGCAUUUAGUGUUGUCAAAUGGGAAUUAGAACGAUUGCUUGGGAUGAAUCAGCCCUUGCCAAAUGGAAACUAAAAUAAUUGUGCAGGAUAGAUCAACCCAAUACAGUAAGUUUAGAUCAAUAGCAAUACAGAAGGGUGAGACAGCCUGUUAUACCAAAAGUAAGGCAAGCCAGAAGUUCAUGACAAAGGGGAGACAUAUAUUUGGUGGCAAAAGUAAGCCAAAAUGAUGGGUUCUUGUUAAGUAGAUAAAAUAGUUGGGUUAUUAGAUAGCGAAAGCAAGCCAGAGUAGCGAAUAAGAUUCCUAUAUAGUUUUAACAAUCCUAUGUAGUUCUGCUAUAAUUAAAGAACCAGUGAUGCAUCAAUAUAACUAAUAUACAGUAGUUAACAUGAAGAAUGCCGAGCAGUGCCCUUUUACAAAAGGAGAGGACAAUCAGAUGUUCGCAUAACACAUCACAGCAGCUAGUGGUAUGACACAUCGUUUGGAAGUUAUUGGGGCCAAAGCCAACCAUAUAGCUAAGAGAAAAAGCGCCUGCACAUGAAGCAUUGUCACUAACCCUGAAUGAAGGGUUCUACUUUCAAGUGUUUGUGAAGAACAUGGUGUAUAAGUCACAGCCCAGGAUCACCGCGACACUUUAAUCUCAACAUCAAUACACUUCCAAUACCACUAAGGGAAAAUAGAGUUAAAAUUCAUGUGAGAACAAAAUAGAAACAACUGUGGUCAAAAUGCAUAAUCCUUGCUCAAAUCAAAUUGAUAAUCACCAGAUGGUAUAUAUUUUGGCUCCCUCCCAGAUCAAAUUAAUUUACACUUAUGGAGGAUUGUUAUUAACAAAGUAACCGACAAAGAAGUGAUCGCCAGUUGCACUGUCUACUUAUGUCUUUAUGAAUGCAAAUGCAAGUGGAAGCUACCAAGGUUCGGUAAAUAGGGAUUGACCAGUAGCUUUUUUCCGAACUGGAAGGAACAAAGUCUCACUUCUAGCCAAACCGAGUGGAGAGCACAUCCUAUCAUUCUUUUGAUCUCUAGAUUUCAUCCAAUUGAGAUUUUCAUUCCGUCAUUUCAAGGAAAUGGUGUACACCAAUUUAAGAAGUUUAGGAGUAUGUCCUAAAAGAAGUUUCAGGUGUGCAUAUCGUUACAAGCUUGAAAUACUGACAUAAAAGCUUGAAAUAUGAGAUUGUGCAUGUAGAAAUAAAUAAGAAAUUAUAUGUCAAACAAAUUUAUGUUUUCUGCCAUUCCAGAAAUUCUAAUUUCUUAAUGAGCCGACUUGCAUACGUCUCUCUCCGAAGGAAAGACCAUUUCUAAUUACAGAAAAGGGAUAUGUACAAUGGUAGACAUAUGUGUUGGUCGAUAAUACCUCAAAUGGCGCACCACUAAGAUUUUCCAUUACCAGCUUCUUAUGGAUCAGUGAUACAGAGCUCUCUGCUUGUGCCUGGCUUGGCAGCUUCCUCUAGACCAGCAAUAAAAUUAAUAGAUUAAGAGAGUACCUCAGCAAACUCAAGAUUAAUUUAUACUCCAUAAACUAAUAUAAGUUCAGGGAGGUAGUACCUAAACAGAUCCAUAAAAUCUUUUAUUCUUUCCAGAAAAUGUAGAAUUAUCCAACAUGUAAGGGGUGAACCACCAUCACGACACCAGCAUCUAGAAUAAGUUGAUUUGCAGAAGCAUUGCCACUAAGAAUAAUGCAUAACAAUGAUUUUUUUUCCCUACAUAUAAGGGGAGGCCUCAAACUUAAUCCUUUACUUCCAUAGCACAUCAUACAAUGCCCCCUUAAAAGAGUUCUUCGAAAUAGCAUGCAAGCUCCAUAUCGAAUGGGGAGCAACGGAGGAGGCCACCCGCGACCAUGGCGUCCGACCAAGGCAUCGUUGUUCCGUCCAGCUCGGCCAUGUGCGGGGCGUGACAUCAUUGUGUAGGUACCGGUGGUCGUCCUCAUCCAUGGAGGAUUCCUGCUGCUCCGAUUCAAAGAAACAAGUAAGGGGAUCAAUCAAUCCAUGGAGAGAAGGAAGACAAGGAGACACGCACGUACACAUACUGCUGCUAGUAUAUAAAGAAAUCAACCAAGCCGUAUGUGUGUGUGCUUGAGUACGUGUGUGGUUGGGCUCCUGGAGUACACGAGCUAGUGUUCUAAUUAAACUGAAAUAGAGCAUGCCAUAGGAGAGCAACCUAGAGCACAGAGCAUGCCACAAGAAAGCAACCUAGAGCAGAGCAACUAUAACUUGGAAAAAUCUCACAACCGAGAGAGAGGGAUGGACCUAGUUUGUCAAUCUACCAUGCAUCGUUACUCUAUAAUUUAUAGAGCUGGCAGCCUAACAUGCUACUGCCAUCAGCGGUAACCAAUGAAAUUAGAAAAGCACCGAAACUACUAAUUCUAACCAAAGAAGUUUGAGGAACAUAUUUCUCUUUGUUUUACAAUCUGAAAACGGCUAUUCUGGAGUGUGCAGUGGUCACUCAAAAUAAAGAAUACAUAUACCUGACCUGCGAAAAACAACUGGCACAACGCAAUGGUCCUUAAUCGGUUAUCCAUAAUAUAGACAAACAAAUAUGAAUCAGGAACCAAGCAGUUUAAUUGGUUGCAAAUUAAAGGACCCUUAGAAUCCGCUUUUAGAUGGCAAACAAUAAACUAUGGCAAUAAAAAAUCAGUAGCCAAAACCCAUAGGACGGAUAAUAGCAUCAGUCAUUCCUUCAACCAAAGCAUCAUAUAUCAUCGAUCUACAUUAUAAGGAGAACUAUGUAUGAGAAUGUGAACCAGAGUUAUACCCCUUGCAUCAUGUAAUUCUUUGGAGUUAGACUCUUUCAAAAUAUUAUCACACAGGGUGCCCAAAAAUAUAUAUUACCACAAUACAUCUAUUCAUCCAUUAAUAAUGAAAAUACUAAUACAUAACUUCCACCUAGAGUAGCAUGGAAUUGCACAAAUAAUACAUAGCAAGAGAUUCAUUAUUUCAAUGCAUGAUAAGUUACGAAAUAGAUCAUCUAAACAAACAAAAUAAUGUUUGUUUGUGCCACUUAUUAUUACUGUUAUCGUGGUACCCACAAUAAGGUGGAAAUGUUAGCUUAUUCAAGGGGGGCCUACAAACUUCGAUCCCAUGAUGGCUAAAAUGGUUUUGGAUCAAUGAAGCUUACAACUGGUAAAUCAGGUGAGCUAGUAAGUAUGGCAAACGAAAAUCAAAGUAGAAUGAUCCCAAAAUGUCUUUUGUUACACUAUUACAAAGCAAGUUAACCGAUCUUAGAUCUUGUGACCAUGAAUCCAAACCUCUACUGAUUACUCUUAAAUUCAUAUCAAAGUGAAGAGAGCUAAUUAUUUAUGUGUGGCGCAUUCAGAGAAUUGAUGUGGCUAUUCAUAAAAUCAAAAUUAAGAUCCAUUCUCUCUAGAAGUAACUAAAAUGAAAGAGGAACAGAGAAUAAUAUCUUGUGCCAGAUUGGGAUUAAUGCACUGAUGAGAGACUCGAACAAUGAAACACAUGCAAAAAUGUUCUCUUGAUGCCCAUUUACUCCUAGGAGUACUACUGAACCUAACUGAAUUUAGGAGUAUUUACAAAACCUAGUAGUACUACUGAACCUAAUCGAACCCAAGUGCAUGUGUGGUGUACUAAAUGUAGGAGCUGCGUGUUUGUACUCCAUGGAUGCAAAUCAAAGGAGUUGGAGCCGUGUGUUUGUACUCCAUAGACGUAUUAUAAACUUUGUAGUCCAUGGGAAAUGAACAUAGCUGCAAAUUAAGAAAAACAAAGCAGUCGAGGAGAGAACGAGCUCACCUAUGAGGUUGCAGCCGAGGCAGUAGCACAGCUCGUCGCUGCAACUGAGCUCGACACGCUACCUCCAUGUGUCCGGCCUUUUCCGCGAGUUGCCCCAUGCGUCCAGCCUCCUCCGAGCACUGUCUCCUCACAAACAAGUAGGGGUAGAAAAAACAUGAAUUGUAACUUAUCAACCGAGCGGCAGCAACAAUCAGCGACAUAUCACCGAUCAACAACAGGACACUAACCGAAAAACGCAGCCAAUAGCAAAAUCAGGAGCAGGAUAAAACUAAUAAUAUAAUGAAAAGAAUGCCCACAAGAGAAGCAUGCACAAUCCUAUGAAAUCAGAAUCAAUUAGUUCACCUACUGACACCCAUCUACCAGGAUCAAACAAGGCGUCCAGGAUCAAACAAACAAAGCAAGGAAAGAUACAGCCCCUUCCUUGCAAUCUAGCUAGACCGCUAAUGUAACAACAAAGUUUCUAGAAGAAUCUAACAGCAAUCAUAUAUAAAAAAAGCGCAAGUAAAUAUGGUCAUGCAUAUUUUGAAGCCACCAAAGCUGUCCUUAUGUCGAAAAUUGAAAUAAACGAUGGUACAAAGAGGAGAAAUAAUGAAAAUAACAUGAAGGAGUCAGAACCCAGAAAUCAUAUGUAACUAAACUAUGAGAAACCAUGUAUAUUACCUCAAGAAUCUAUAUAGACCUAAGCUUCUCUUUAACAGGCAGAAAACCAAGCAAUAAAACAGAUAGCCUAGCUAAAUCCAAGGACCUACUUGACGGCAAGGCACCAACAAAACAAGAAAGCCCCCCAAAAGUCCUCCUCUGGAACCUAGCUACCUAAGAAUCUGCUGCACAAGAAGAAACCCAAGGCAUUUUUGCUAGCCAGUCCUACAAAAUGGUACAUGAACAUAAGAGGGGAAGGAGCUCAACCAGCAGGAGCAUGACCAGUGCGGCCACACGCGGCAGAGGUGAAGCAUAGAUCGCUCGGAAUCGCGUGUGUAAGGAAGAACCCAACAACACGGUACAUGCGAGUAGCACCAGCAAACAAAUCAGUAGGUUACUUCUAGGACAUAGCACCUCGAUCACUCUUUACAUGAACAAUCCAGCAUUAUCUACUAAAAAACUAUCAACAAAAAUCUUGUAGCAUUAUUAUUUGUAGCAUGUAAGAACAAAUAGCUGCAAAUGGUAACUUGCGAAAAAAUAGAAGUAGUAGUGUCACAGCAAAUUAAAACAAGCCAUUCAACCAUUGCGGGGAGCGGGUCAAAGUGCGACUUACUCUUAUAACCAGAUUAAAUCAAGGACCAACAACAAUAUAGAUACAACAAAGUGCGACUGUACAUAUUCUACAAAACACACCACUGCACCAUGUAGAUACAACACAUAUCAAUUAGAAGGGGCAACUUGUGCCCUGUUUAUGAGAGAAAGAAAUCAAAUAAUAUUUGUAACAGUAGAUUGAGAUAUGAUGAGAAUACCUAAUCAGUAAAGCAUCACUACCCAACCAUAAGCAUAAAGGAAGUAAUAUGAGCUGAAAUCUCUGAUGGCAUAAAAAAUUAGAGCAUGUCUGACAUAACAUUUUGAAGUUACAAAUGGUAAAUAAACUACAACCAAGAAACAGAACAUUAAGUAGCUAGAGAGUAUACACUACUUUCUAAUAGGAAAGAAUGUAAUUUAAUCGGUAAGGUACUGUCACUGUCUCCAACAUGAAAAAACGAAGAAACCUUUUGUAAUCAGUAUCUACCAUGCUCAUGUUUCUUCUGUAUUCAGUACAGUAGCUGCAACCAUGCGCAUAUCACCGAGCAGGAAAAAGAGAGAAGGUUACGGCUUACUUAACAUUUGCCAAUUGAUGCUGCCUGCACCCAUACUUUAUGAAUCUGCUGCUUCUAAUUCUGUUACAACCUGCCACUCCUCAUUAUAUGUUGCCCCAUCAUUUUCCUGCAACGCAUCUAUAUAACAAAAAGCACCACAUCAAGUGAGGUACGAAAAUAGCAGAUAGCAAAGCAACAUGAGAAUAGUAGUCAAGUAUAUUGGCAUACCUUUAAUUCUCAAAUAGUUGAUUGGUUCAUGACGAUGGUUCGAGGAGAAAGCUGCAAUUGAAAAAAUAAAGAUAUUCUUACAAAGAAGGCCCAAAGGUUUAAGCAGGAUAUGGUAAUAAAUAUACAUAAUAUGUAAACUUCAAAACUAUUGCAGAGAGAUAAAUGUGGUUUUGGAAGAAACAUGUUCCUAGAUAGGCAGAGUCUAAUUGUAGUAGCAUAUCAUUGUGAGACGAAUGCACUUUUUUAACUUCUCCCUAGCCUACCCAUGUGGUUCCAGAGGGUAACACAUUCAUUAAAUGCAAACUCGAUAGCAGAAUUUUCCCUCAUGACACAGAGCUUUUCCCAAGUGCACCAUAUAUCCUGAUUUGGAAUGUUCUAAAUCCAAGAAUAUAAUGUAUGAUAGUUUAUCAUCAAUACUGAUGAUAUAGAGACAAAGAUGAGAGCUAGGAACCAUGCCAAUUAGCUUGGAUGGGCUCCCCACUGUUUGAUCUGCUUCAACAUUGCAAAGGGAGGUUCUUCAGUACUUCUCAAGCUUCUAGAUUCCCUGCAGCUGCAAUAGGCUCAACCUUAAUUGUCUUCCAUUCAGUACUAUCUAAGUGUGCGGGCGAGUGAGGCUUGCAGGCGAUGUAUGAAACAAGUGCAAGACGCUAUAAAAAUAGUACUAUGUCUGUAUCUGUGGUAGUAGAUAAAAGUAACAUUAGUAUCAGUACUAAUUCUAAGUAUAUCAGAACAUGCAAAGAACAUAUGUAGUAGUAAUAGCCAGGUAGGCAUAGUUGCCAGAUUCGGUGGGUUUGAUUUGGGGAAACAAUGCAUUGGCAAGGCAACAGGCGAGGGAUGGAUGGAUGGAUGGAUGGACUUACGAUUUUGUCGAGCUCCCGGGUCUUGCGCAUCAGCUCCUCCUUGAGCCGGCUAUUCUCCUCAAGCUGCGGUGGCGUGGGAGGGGGAGAAUGGAUGACUGAGUCAGUGAUAUUGGCAGGGGUGAGAAAAGAGAUGGGCGAGGGGAGGGGGGAGGUGUCCUGGUGAUGGAUGGUGGCCUCGGCGUCCUCGACGGCGCGCAUGACCUGGAAGAGGUUGCCGGUGCCAGCGGCGUCGUCGGAGUCCUGGCACGCGGUGGCCAGCUCAUCGGCGUCGGCCAUGGCGCGGUGAUGGCGAUGCGGGUGGGGUACGGGGAGGAGAUGGGAGCACGGCGAGGGAGGCGGAACCCUAGGGAGGGGAGGGGAGGGGAGGCGGCUCCUCAAGUGGCUGGUCGCGCUGCUGGUGGAGACGAGACGGGAGUGGGGGAGGGAGGGGAUUCGCGCUCUCUCUCUCUNNNNNNNNNNAAACAGAUAGCCUAGCUAAAUCCAAGGACCUACUUGACGGCAAGGCACCAACAAAACAAGAAAGCCCCCCAAAAGUCCUCCUCUGGAACCUAGCUACCUAAGAAUCUGCUGCACAAGAAGAAACCCAAGGCAUUUUUGCUAGCCAGUCCUACAAAAUGGUACAUGAACAUAAGAGGGGAAGGAGCUCAACCAGCAGGAGCAUGACCAGUGCGGCCACACGCGGCAGAGGUGAAGCAUAGAUCGCUCGGAAUCGCGUGUGUAAGGAAGAACCCAACAACACGGUACAUGCGAGUAGCACCAGCAAACAAAUCAGUAGGUUACUUCUAGGACAUAGCACCUCGAUCACUCUUUACAUGAACAAUCCAGCAUUAUCUACUAAAAAACUAUCAACAAAAAUCUUGUAGCAUUAUUAUUUGUAGCAUGUAAGAACAAAUAGCUGCAAAUGGUAACUUGCGAAAAAAUAGAAGUAGUAGUGUCACAGCAAAUUAAAACAAGCCAUUCAACCAUUGCGGGGAGCGGGUCAAAGUGCGACUUACUCUUAUAACCAGAUUAAAUCAAGGACCAACAACAAUAUAGAUACAACAAAGUGCGACUGUACAUAUUCUACAAAACACACCACUGCACCAUGUAGAUACAACACAUAUCAAUUAGAAGGGGCAACUUGUGCCCUGUUUAUGAGAGAAAGAAAUCAAAUAAUAUUUGUAACAGUAGAUUGAGAUAUGAUGAGAAUACCUAAUCAGUAAAGCAUCACUACCCAACCAUAAGCAUAAAGGAAGUAAUAUGAGCUGAAAUCUCUGAUGGCAUAAAAAAUUAGAGCAUGUCUGACAUAACAUUUUGAAGUUACAAAUGGUAAAUAAACUACAACCAAGAAACAGAACAUUAAGUAGCUAGAGAGUAUACACUACUUUCUAAUAGGAAAGAAUGUAAUUUAAUCGGUAAGGUACUGUCACUGUCUCCAACAUGAAAAAACGAAGAAACCUUUUGUAAUCAGUAUCUACCAUGCUCAUGUUUCUUCUGUAUUCAGUACAGUAGCUGCAACCAUGCGCAUAUCACCGAGCAGGAAAAAGAGAGAAGGUUACGGCUUACUUAACAUUUGCCAAUUGAUGCUGCCUGCACCCAUACUUUAUGAAUCUGCUGCUUCUAAUUCUGUUACAACCUGCCACUCCUCAUUAUAUGUUGCCCCAUCAUUUUCCUGCAACGCAUCUAUAUAACAAAAAGCACCACAUCAAGUGAGGUACGAAAAUAGCAGAUAGCAAAGCAACAUGAGAAUAGUAGUCAAGUAUAUUGGCAUACCUUUAAUUCUCAAAUAGUUGAUUGGUUCAUGACGAUGGUUCGAGGAGAAAGCUGCAAUUGAAAAAAUAAAGAUAUUCUUACAAAGAAGGCCCAAAGGUUUAAGCAGGAUAUGGUAAUAAAUAUACAUAAUAUGUAAACUUCAAAACUAUUGCAGAGAGAUAAAUGUGGUUUUGGAAGAAACAUGUUCCUAGAUAGGCAGAGUCUAAUUGUAGUAGCAUAUCAUUGUGAGACGAAUGCACUUUUUUAACUUCUCCCUAGCCUACCCAUGUGGUUCCAGAGGGUAACACAUUCAUUAAAUGCAAACUCGAUAGCAGAAUUUUCCCUCAUGACACAGAGCUUUUCCCAAGUGCACCAUAUAUCCUGAUUUGGAAUGUUCUAAAUCCAAGAAUAUAAUGUAUGAUAGUUUAUCAUCAAUACUGAUGAUAUAGAGACAAAGAUGAGAGCUAGGAACCAUGCCAAUUAGCUUGGAUGGGCUCCCCACUGUUUGAUCUGCUUCAACAUUGCAAAGGGAGGUUCUUCAGUACUUCUCAAGCUUCUAGAUUCCCUGCAGCUGCAAUAGGCUCAACCUUAAUUGUCUUCCAUUCAGUACUAUCUAAGUGUGCGGGCGAGUGAGGCUUGCAGGCGAUGUAUGAAACAAGUGCAAGACGCUAUAAAAAUAGUACUAUGUCUGUAUCUGUGGUAGUAGAUAAAAGUAACAUUAGUAUCAGUACUAAUUCUAAGUAUAUCAGAACAUGCAAAGAACAUAUGUAGUAGUAAUAGCCAGGUAGGCAUAGUUGCCAGAUUCGGUGGGUUUGAUUUGGGGAAACAAUGCAUUGGCAAGGCAACAGGCGAGGGAUGGAUGGAUGGAUGGAUGGACUUACGAUUUUGUCGAGCUCCCGGGUCUUGCGCAUCAGCUCCUCCUUGAGCCGGCUAUUCUCCUCAAGCUGCGGUGUCGUGGGAGGGGGAGAAUGGAUGACUGAGUCAGUGAUAUUGGCAGGGGUGAGAAACAGAGAUGGGCGAGGGGAGGGGGGAGGUGUCCUGGUGAUGGAUGGUGGCCUCGGCGUCCUCGACGGCGCGCAUGACCUGGAAGAGGUUGCCGGUGCCAGCGGCGUCGUCGGAGUCCUGGCACGCGGUGGCCAGCUCAUCGGCGUCGGCCAUGGCGCGGUGAUGGCGAUGCGGGUGGGGUACAGGGAGGAGAUGGGAGCACGGCGAGGGAGGCGGAACCCUAGGGAGGGGAGGGGAGGGGAGGCGGCUCCUCAAGUGGCUGGCCGCGCUGCUGGUGGAGACGAGACGGGAGUGGGGGAGGGAGAGGAUUCGCUCUCUCUCUCUCUCUGUUCAUAGGAGGUGGCGGACCCUCCCUCUGCUGCUGCUCAUCGUUGUUGGGGAGGGAGGAGGGGGCUUUGUUGAGGUGGAUCUNNNNNNNNNNGGCUCCUCUUUGAUCCGACAGCGCAGGUCAUCCGGCGGCUCGAUCCGACGGCCAAGAUCAGAUUAAGCAACCAGAUCCAACGGCCAGGAAUGCCAAGCGGCUGAGGAGGCUGGAGGAUGACUGGAAUCCUUAUUUCUCGAUUCGUUUGCCCCAUGCGAGUGCAUCCCCCAAAGGCCGCAACCUCUUCUACACCACCGCUUAUGGUUGAAGUUGUUGCCGUCCUCCCCCUGCUUCUUGGACGGUUCGCCUCUGCUUGAGCAUGACUGCGGCGUCCCGCCCAAUUGGCCUUGACAAUGCUCCUCGGCCUCAGCUAAAGCCACUGGCCCGUUCCACUGAUGUUUAGAAUUGCUGCUCAUGCAUCUGCUUGCCACUUUGCCGACAAUGCUACUCGUCGACCCGUGCAACUCUAGCAUGUUGGCUACUUGUCGCGUGCCUCUUGGACCAGAUAGUUUCUAAAUCGAUGCAUUGAAGUUAAACUACAUAGUUGACCUUUUAAGUUUGGGAGCACUUGGUCAGGCAGCUAAAAACUGGUUUUGUUUCAGUUGAUUUGCUCUCCCUCUUUCAACUAUCUUAUUUAAAUCCAAAGCCUCAUGUUUUUCAUCCUCCUGCCAUCGAAGCGACAAUGUUCUUUUUGAUGGAAAUAUUCCCUAGAGGCAAUAAUAAAAUGGUUAUUAUUAUAUUUCCUUAAUCAUGAUAAAGGUUUAUUAUUCAUGCUAGAAUUGUAUUAAUCAGAAACUUAAAUACAUGUGUGGAUACAUAAACAAAUACCAUGUCUCUAGUGAGCCUCUACUAGACUAGCUUGUUGAUCAAAAGAUGGUUAAGGUUGCCUAACCAUAGACAUGUGUUGUCACUUGAUAACGGGAUCACAUCAUUAGGAGAAUGAUGUGAUGGACAAGACCCAUCUAUUAGCUUAGCAUCUGAUCGUUCAGUUUAUUGCUACUGCUUUCUUAAUGCCAAAUACAUGUUUCUUCAACCAUGAGAUCAUGCAACUCCCGUAUAUCGGAGGAAUACCUUGUGUGCUAUCAAAGGUCACAACAUAACUGGGUGAUCAUAAAGAUGCUCUACAGGUAUCUCCGAAGGUGUCUGUGGAGUUGGCGUGAAUCGAGAUUGGAAUUUGUUACUCCGUAUGGCGGAGAGGUAUCUCUGGGCCCUCUCAGUAAUACACAUCACAAGAAGCUUGCAAGAAAAAUGACUAAGGAGUUAGUUACGAGAUGAUGUAUUACGAAACGAGUAAAGAGACUUGCCGGUAAUGAGAUUGAACUAGUUAUGGAGAUAUCAACGAUCGAAUCUCGGGCAAGUAACAUACCGACAGACAAAGGGAAUUACGUAUGCUGUCAUAACGGUUUGAUCGAUAAAUAUCUUUGUAGAAUAUGUAGGAACCAAUAUGGGCAUCCAAGUUCCGCUAUUGGUUAUUUACCGGAGAGGUGUCUCGGUCAUGCCUACAUAGUUCUCGAAGCCAUAGGGUCCACACUUUUAACGUUCGUUGAUGAUAUAGUGUUCUAUGAGUUAUAUUAUUUGGUGACGGAAUGUUGUUCGGAGUCCCGGAUUAGGUCAUGGACAUGACGAGGAGCUCCGGAAUGGCCCGGAGGUAAAGAUCAAUAUAUAGGUCGAUGAUAUUUGGACACCGGAAGAGUUUUGGGAGGUACCGGGUAGUCAUCGGAUCAUCAGAAGUGGUUCCGGGAAGCCCCGGGAUGCUAUAUGGCUUAAUGGGCCAAAGGAGGAACACACCAGCCCACAAGGGGCUGGUGCGCCCCUCUCCCUGGCCGCCGGCCCUAGGGGAAGGAAAGGGGGAGGGUUGGCCCCUCCUUCCUUUCCCUCCUCAUGAGAGANNNNNNNNNNNNNNNNNNNNNNNNNNNNNNNNNNNNNNNNNNNNNNNNNNNNNNNNNNNNNNNNNNNNNNNNNNNNNNNNNNNNNNNNNNNNNNNNNNNNNNNNNNNNNNNNNNNNNNNNNNNNNNNNNNNNNNNNNNNNNNNNNNNNNNNNNNNNNNNNNNNNNNNNNNNNNNAGGGGGCGCCACACAAGGACCACGUCGAUCUCUUAGCCGUGUGCGGCACCCCUCUCCAUAGUUUCAUCCAUCAGUCAUAUUUUCAUAGUGCUUAGGUGAAGCCUUGCGUAAAUAGCAUCACCACCACCAUCACCACUUCGCCCGUCUUGCUGGAUCAAGAUGGCGAGGACGUCACCGAGAUGAACAUGUGCGUCACCGAGAUGAACUUGAUCGGUUGGACCGUGAAGAAGUUCGACUAUAUCAAUUGCGUUAAUAAACGCUUCCGCUUACGGUCUACGAGGGUACAUAGACACACUCUCCCCUCUUGUUGCUAUGCAUCUCCAUGGAUACAUCUUGCGUGUGCAUAUUUUUUUUUUGUUUUCCAUGCGACGUUCCCCAACACUUCUUCCUCACUGAACCUAUGAUUUCUCUCCCUCCUAUUGAUAAUCCCCAAGUGCAGGGAAUCAUAGUAGCAAUUCCCAAAGGUGGAAGUGAUAAGUAUGGAGUGUCGAACCCACAAGGAGCUAAAGGUAAGAUCAAUAUUCUCUCAAGCCCUAUCUGCCACUGAUACGACUCUAGUGCACCGAACGUUUGCUUCCAACUAGCAACGAGAAAUAAAACUAUGUUGUGGGUAUGUAGAGGAUAACUUUGUAUGAUAUCGGAGAGCUAAAACAUAAAAGUAGGUGUUGUUAUCAUAAAGUUAGAAUAUAAUACUAAAUAUUAUAAAUAGCGAGUGUGGAAUAAUGGUGGAUCGGUGUGCGGAAUUGUCCUAGGCAAUAGUUAACAAGACUGAUAAUCACUAUUGCAGUUUCAUAUGAGGGAGAGGCAUAAGCUAACAUACUUUCUCUUCUUGGAUCAUAUGCACUUAUGAUUGGAACUCUAGCAAGCGUCGUCAACUACUGAAGAUCAUAAAGGUAACAACCAACCAUAGCAUUAAAGCAUCAAGUCCUCUUUAUUCCCAUACACAACAACCUACUUACUCGGAUUUGUGUUUUAGUCACUCACGCAACCCACUAUAAGCGAAUCAUGAACGUAUUGCAACACCCUACAGCGGGAAUCCCUCAUGCUUGCGCGACACGGAGGGCACCAUAGGAUAGCAUCAAAGUAAAACAUACAACUCAUACCAAUCUAAAUCAUCAAUCAACCCAAAGACAAAAGAUAUCUACUCAAAACAUCAUAGGAUGGCAACACAUCAUUGGAUCAUAAUAUGUGGCAUAGAGCACCAUGUUCCUGUAGGGAUUACAGCGGGGUGCGGGAGAGUGGACCGCGUAAAAGAGAUGAGGAUGGUGAUGAUGAUGGUGAUGUUGAUGAAGACGAUCACCGCGGCGAUGAUUCCCCUCCCGAUGGCACUCCGGUGCCACCAAGAGAGAGCAGGAGAGGUUCUCCCCCUUGUGCUUCCUCCUCCAUGACUUUCCCCCUCUGGUCCUUGGCCUUGAUGGUGAUGAUGGACCCUCCGAGAUCCUCCUCCAUGGCCCCCGGUGAUGAUGGCCCCCUCCGGCAGGGUGCCGGAGAGGUCCUAGAUUGAUUUCUCAUGGCUACAGAGGCUUGCGGCGGGGGAACUUAUGAUCUAGGUCAAUUCCCGAAGGUUUCUGUAUUUAUAGGAAUAUUUGGCGUUGGUUUCACGUCAGGGGGGUCUCUGGGCUGUCCACGAGAUAGGGGGCGCGCCCCCCACUCUCGUGGGCAGCCCGGGACUCUUCCGGCCCAACUCUGAUGCUCCGUGGUCUUCUUUUGGUCCAUAAAAAAUCCUCAAAAAUUGGCACGUCAAUUGGACUCCGUUUGGUAUCCCUUUUCUGUAAAACACAAAAACUAGGAGAAAACAGAAAUUGGCACUGGGCUCUAGGUUAAUAGGUUAGUCCCAAAAAUCAUAUAAAAUGACAUAUAAAUGCAUAUAAAACAUCAUAGAUGAAUAAUAUAAUAGCAUGAAUACUUCAUAAAUUAUAGAUAUGUUGGAGACGUAUCAGCAUCCCUAAGCUUAAUUCCUGCUCUUCCGCGAGUAGGUACAUGAUAAAAGAAAUAAUUUAUGAAGUGUGAAUGCUAGUAGGUGGACAAGUUUGAUCAAUGAUAAUUUCAAUCACCUUUUCUAGCAUCAAAAUGUGUCAUAAUAGUAGCUUAUCUCAUAAAACUUUUCAUGAUCAAGUAACAAUCUAUUCACAAUGUCAAGUAUGGUUCAGAAACUUCAUUGAGAACUAACAAACUAUAAUCUCAGUCAUUUAAGCAAUUGCAAUUUAUCAUAACAUCAGAAAGAGUCAAGAAUAGAGCUUUUUAGCAAGUCCACAUACUCAACUAUCAUAUAGUCUUCUACAAUUGCUAACACUCACGCAAUACUUGUGGUUAGGGAGUUUCAGCCAGACACUGAGAAAGAUAGGGGCUUAUUGUGUUGCCUCCCAACGUAUUCACCUUUAGGUGAUGUCAACUAUAAUAGCCCAUGCUAACUUACAUCCAAUUGGAUAUAUAUACCAUGAUCUUUCAAACACAAGGAGCUUGCCAAAGGACAAAAUGAAAAAGGGAAAGGUGAGGAUCACCUUGACUCAAGCAUAAAGUAAAAACAUAAAGUAAAAGAUAGGCCCUUCGCAGAGGGAAGCAGAGGUUGUCUUGUGCGUUUAGGGUUGGAUGCAUAAAAUCUUAAUGCAAAAGAACGUCACUUUAUAUUGCCCCUUGUAUGUUGACCUUUAUUAUGCAGUCCGUCGCUUUUAUUGCUUCCACAACAAGAUCGUACAAAGCUUAUUUUCUCUGCACUAAUAAGUCAUACAUAUUUAGAUAGCAAUUUUUAUUGCCUGCAACAUGACCACUUGAAGGAUCUUACUCAAUCCAUAGGUAGGUAUGGUGGACUCUCAUGGCAAAACUGGGUUUAAGGAUAUUUGGAAACACAAGUAGUAUCUCUACUUAGUGCAAGGAAUUUGGCUAGCAUGAGGGGGAAAGGCAAGCUCAACAUACUUGGAAGGUCAAUGACAAUAUACUUUAACUGAGAUGUGAGAAAACACAAAUCAUUAUGUUGUCUUCCUUGUCCAACGUCAACUCUUUUAGCAUGUCAUAAUUAAUGAGUGCUCCCUAUCAUAAAAGAUGUCCAAGAUAAUAUAUUUGUAUGUGAACCUCUCUUUCCUUAUUACUUCCUAUUAAUUGCAACGAUGACCAAAACUACGUUUACCAACUCUCAACAACUUUUAUGCCUCAUACUGUUUAUAUGUGAAGUCAUUACUAUCCAUGUUAUAAGCAUAAUAAAACAUAUAGAAAUUCAGAUUCAUGACAUUCAAUUCAUUCCCCCAUUUACUCAUAGGAUGAACAUGAAGCACAUGAGUAAAUGACAAACUACUCCAAAAGAUAUGAGUGAAAGACAUGGAGUAGUCAAAUAAUUAACUAGCCAUGGGAGGGUUCCUUUUUUAUUCAAUAUUCAGAUCCAAUGAUUUUAUUCAAACAGCAAGUAAAAUCGAAAACACGCUCCAAGCAAAACACAUAUCAUGUGACGAAUAAAAAUAUAGCUCCGAGUAAGAUGUACCGAUAGUUUUGAAGACGAAAGAGGGGAUGCCUUCCGGGGCAUCCCCAAGCUUAGGCGCUUGAGUCUUCCUUGAAUAUUACCUUGGGGUGCCUUGGGAAUCCCCAAGCUUAGGGUCUUUCCACUCCUUAUUCUACUCAUAUCGAUAUCUCGCCCAAAACUUGAAAACUUCAAUCACACAAAACUUAAUGGAACUUCGUGAGAUAGGUUAGUAUGAUAAAGAGUAAACCAUGCACUUUGGUACUGUAAAAGACAAGGUUAAUAAUUGUUUUCACAUAAUGCNNNNNNNNNNUACUGUACCAUAUCAUUUCUACAAUUUAUAUUGAGAAAUAUAAGCCAUAGAAACUAGAAAACAAGCAAACUAUGCAGUGAAAACAGAAUCUGUCACAAAUAGAACAGUCUGUAAUGAUCUGAGCAAUAACCAUACUUCUGCUACUCCAAAAAUUAUGAAAUAAAUUGGUGGACAUGAGGAAUUUGUCUACUAAUCUUCUGCAAAAAGAAUAAACUCAAAGUCACACUUCUGUAAAAAAUGACAGCUAAUCUCGUGAGCGCAAAGUUUCUAUUUUUUACAGCAAGAUCACAUUAACUCUCACCCAAGUCUUCCCAAAGGUCUUACUUGGCACUUUAUUGAAACAAAAGCUAUAAAACAUGAUUACUACAGUAGCUUAAUCAUGUAGACACACAAAAACAGUCAGGAUAAAUAUUGGGUUGUCUCCCAACAAGCGCUUUUAUUUAAUGCCUUUUAGCUAGGCAUGAUGAUUUCAAUGAUGCUCGCAUAAAAGAAAAGAGUUGAAACACAAAGAGAGCAUCAUGAAGAAUAUGACUAGCACAUUUAAAUCUAACUCACUUCAUAUGCCUGGGGAUUUUGUGAGCACACAACUUAUGGGAACAAGAAUCAACUAGCAUAGGAAGGCAAAACAAGUUUAACUUCAAAACUUAAAGCUCAUAGAGAGGAAACUUGAUAUCAUUGCAACUCCUACAAGUAUAUAUUCCCCCCUCAUAAUAGUUUUCAGUAUCAUCAUGGAUAACAACCUUUUUUCUCAUACUAAAUUGGAACCUCUUCCGAAAUAGUGGAAUACUAACUAAAGUUGACACUCUUCCAAAUCCACUUUCAUGAAUAUCGUACAAUGAUUCAACACCCUCCAAGAUAGUGGGAUCACUAAUUCCUAAAGUUGACACUCUUCCAAACCCACUUUAAAUUAUAGUACUAUUCAUACUCCAAAAGAUAUAAGUGAAGUUCCUGGAGCAUUCUAUAAUUAAUAUAGACUAGCCAAUAUCCAAGCUCAAAAUAUAUAAGUGAAGCGCACGAAGCAUUCUAUAAAACCAUACUCAAACGAUAUAAGUGAAGCACAAAGAGCAAUUAUCUAAGAUCAUACUUAAAAGAUAUAAGUGAAGCUAAUGAAGUAUAAAUGAAUGAAGAGCUCUCUCAUAUAUCAUGAUUCUUGAAGAAAAAUAAAAACACAAAGGACAUGAAUCGUGUGAACAAAGCAAAAACCGAGGUAUACCGAUAUUUGUUGAGGAAGAAAGAUGGGAUGCCAACCGGGGCAUCCCCAAGCUUAGAUGCUUGAGUAUCCUUUAAAAUAUUUACUUGGGGUGCCUUGGGCAUCCCCAAGCUUGAACUCUUGUCUCUCUUUAUUCUUCUCACAUCAAUAACUCCUCGUUCUUCAAACACUUCAUUCACAAAAACUUAAAAAAAAACUUGUGAGAUCCGUUAGUGUAAUAAAGCAAACUACCACUUUAAGGUACUGUAAUUAACAAUUUAUUUAUUUUUAUUGGUGUUAAACCUACUGUAUUCCAACUUCUCUAUGGUUCAUACCCUUACAUACUAGCCAUAGAUGCAUCAAAAUAAGCAAACAAUACACGAAAAACAGAAUCUGUCAAGAACAGGACAGUCUGUAGUAAUCUGGAAGUUCAGUAAACUUCUGUAACUCCAAAAAUUAUGAAAUAAAAUUGAAAAUUUGAAAUAUUUGUACAGAAGUAAUGUGCAAAAAGUUUCAUACCCAUUUGUCUUUCCAGUAAAAAAUGUAAAUUCAUGCACUACAGCCAAAGUUUCUAUUUUUCUGCACAUAGUAAGCAAGCAAUCUUAUCAUACUAAAACCAAAGCUUGGCACACUAUUUUUAUAUUAAAAAGGAUAUAUACAAGGGUAUAAUUAUUUACAGAGAAACUUUCAUGAAAAAUUCUACAUUGUUUCCGUGAGCAUGAACUCAAGUGCUCAAGGUCGACCCUCACUUCUUCAAUGCAUAACUUUCCAAUCACUUCUCUUUUUGAAAAACUUUUUUAGGCAUGACAGGCAAGUAAUUCUUUUUUGGUAUUUUCAUUCUUUUUAAUUUUUGUGUAUGUUUCAUCCACAACUAAACAGAAACAAAAAGGGAAAAUAAAAUCUACUUAGUGAAGAAAGCAAACAAGCACACACGAGAAUAUCAACCCCACGCUAUCACUCCCCGGCAACGGCGCCAGAAAAGAGCUUGAUAAUCCCCAAGUGCAGGGAAUCAUCGUAGCAAUUCCCAAAGGUGGAAGUGAUAAAUAUGGAGUGUAGAACCCACAAAGAGCUAAAGGUAAGAUCAAUAUUCUCUCAAGCCCUAUCUGCCACUGAUACGACUCUACAUGCACCGAACAUUUGCUUCCAACUAGCAACGAGAAAUAAAACUAUGUUGUGGGUAUAUACAGGAUAACUUUGUAUGAUAUCGGAGAGCUAAAACAUAAAAGUAGGUGCUGUUGUCAUAAAGUUAGUAAAUAAUACUAAAUAUUAUAAAUAGCGAGUGUGGAAUAAUGGUGGAUCGGUGUGCGGAAUUGUCCUAGGCAAUUGUUAACAAGACCGAUAAUCACUAUUGCAGUUUCAUAUGAGGGAGAGGCAUAAGCUAACAUACUUUCUCUUCUUGGAUCAUAUGCACUUAUGAUUGGAACUCUAGCAAGCAUCCGCAACUACUAAAGAUCAUUAAGGUAAAACCCAACCAUAGCAUUAAAGCAUCAAGUCCUCUUUAUUCCCAUACGCAACAACCUACUUACUCGGUUUGUGUUUCAGUCACUCACGCAACCCACUAUAAGCGAAUCAUGAACGUAUUGCAACACCCUACAGCAGGAAUCCCUCAUGCUUGCGCGAUACAGAGGGCACCAUAGGACAACAUCAAAGUAAAACAUACAACUCAUACCAAUCUAAAUCAUCAAUCAACCCAAAGACAAAAGAUAUCUACUCAAAACAUCAUAGGAUGGCAACACAUCAUUGGAUCAUAAUAUGUGGCAUAAAGCACCAUGUUCAAGUAGGGAUUACAGCGGGGUGCGGGAGAGUGGACCGCGUAAAAGAGAUGAGGAUGGUGAUGACGAUGGUGAUGUUGAUGAAGACGAUCACCGCGGCGAUGAUUCCCCUCCCGAUGGCACUCCGGUGCCACCAAGAGAGAGGAGGAGAGGUUCUCCCCCUUGUGCUUCCUCCUCCAUGGCUUUCCCCCUCUGGUCCUUGGCCUUCAUGGUGAUGAUGGCCCCUCCGAGAUCCUCCUCCAUGGCCUCCGGUGAUGAUGGCCCCCUCCGGUAGGGUGCCGGAGAGGGCCUGGAUUGAUUUCUCAUGUCUACAGAGGCUUGCGGCGGCGAAACUUUUGAUCUAGGUCAAUUCCCGAAGGUUUCUGUAUUUAUAGGAAUAUUUGGCGUUGGUUUCACGUUAGGGGGGUCUCCGGGCUGUCCACGAGAUAGGGGGCGCGCCCCCACUCUCGUGGGCAGCCCGGGACUCUUCUAGCCCAACUCCGAUGCUCCGUGGUCUUCUUUUGGUCCAUAAAAAAUCCUCAAAAAUUGGCACGCCAAUUGGACUCCGUUUGGUAUCCCUUUUCUGUAAAACACAAAAACAAGGAGAAAACAGAAACUCGCACUGGGCUCUAGGUUAAUAGGUUAGUCCCAAAAAUCAUAUUAAAUGACAUAUAAAUGCAUAUAAAACAUCAUAGAUGAAUAAUAUAAUAGCAUGAAUACUUCAUAAAUUAUAGAUUGGAGACGUAUCACCUAUCCUUAGCUGAUUUGGCUGCCUCAAAUUCGUUGAGUACUCGUUUGAGCAAUUACCAAGGACUUACUUCUUGUUGCAUUGCUUCAAGAGAUCUUGGAUGAUAGGUCCAUAGUCCGAGAUUUGCACACCACUCGGUGGCGCAUGGUUGACUUGAUCAAUAUAACCAGGCCAUCGGUUGCAUUGGUCUUGCAUGGUACCUCCAUUGGUUACCAAGAGAGCCUUGGAUGUGGCGUUAUGUGACUUCCAUUAUGUUGAUGUAGUACUCUACAAUUCUACCCGAGAGUCGGUCCUUCGAUUGAUCUGUUCCAAUUGAUGCAUCAACUGACAUGUUUGUCCAAGCGUUACACAAUGCAAUAUAUUAAUCUUGGCAAUACUUGUGAGUCCUAGAUAUUGAUGGUGCCCUCGCGCUUGUUGUGACUCCAUAGAACUAUCAACAACUUCCGGAUCCUCCUUGGCGUCGGCCUCCACUUUUGGCUCAUAAUCCUCCUCGGGGUCUUCUUGUUGAUCAGACACCGAGUUAUAGUUGAGAUCUUCAAGCCCAAGCAUAUGUGACUCCUCCAAAGAUGAUCAAAGUUUGUUUGUGUUAUUCUCCGCACUAUGACAACAAGCACAUCACCCUAGGGCCGCAAGCAAUCACCAUACAAUGCACCGAUCGAUAUGAAAAUACAUUUAUUUACCUUGAUGGCAUUUGUUUGACCACUUGGCGGCCACGACCCUUGGUGAUGGCAGUGGCGGCCGGACGAGCAACCGUAAGGGUGGCCGAAGAUGUGGUGCGAGGCACCAGAGGCAUCUUAUUCUUAUUAUCCUCGCUAUAUCCUCGGUGAGCGCUGACGCAGGUCUCAUCGACCUCCUUGCCCGCUUGUCAGAGGCUGGAGCAGCGGGAGGGCUGCCUCACAUCUUCAAAGAAGCAGUGGUCUUUCCACCGACCUUGCUACCGGCGAUGCUUGCCUGUGUGGUGGCAUGUGUGGGUUUUAAGUGCCUAGCUUCUUCCUUGUUGUGGGCAGCGGCACAGGGCUCAUUUCCUGAUGCGUCGCGCUGGCGGUGGUGGCUGGCAAGGUGGUGGAAGGGUCUUACAUGUACAUCAUUUUGUCCUCGGGUAGGUAGCCGUGUCCGGCCUUCUUGCCGAUGGCGUUUGCACUGCACUCGCAGGUCUUCCUCACAUUCGUCUGCAACUUGACAUGAAAAUAUUUCUGCCACAUGCCAAAGUGGGACUCGACAUAGAGAAAAGCCUCACACAAGGUGAUGAAGCAUGCAAUGUGAAAGAUAGCAAUGAGGGAAGGUAGUGGACUUUGAAGUAGUAAAAAUGCAGGAAACCCCAGAAGGACAGAUUUAUCAGAAAAGCCCAAUCCGUGAAUCAAAAAAGGGAUGAAAUUGACACUCUUAUGCGGAUCAGGCUAUGGGUACACCUCUUCUCGGGCGUCGCCAUUCUCGGUCACGAUGAUGGGAGAGCACGCGAGGACCACGAUAGCUGCGGAAGAUACCCAUCUGCGGCAAGGCGGUCCAACUGGCCACGCUAGUGGAGGGCAUCCAUUUUCCCUUUGUCUUGGAGGUGACCUUGGCUACAACAGUGACAAUCUCCUUUCCAGUGCUGACCAUCUUUCCAUCCGUGGUGAGCUUGUAGCACAUGGCGGCACGGUGGUGAUGUUGGGUUGUGCUAGAGCGAUGGUGCUAUGGCACAGUGAAGUAGCAGGACAACGACAUAGCGCAAAAGCGGUGGAGCUGUUGUUGUGCCAGGAAGAAGAUGAGAACAAGGGAAACAAUAGCAUGAGCUCCCCCUCGCUCCAUCCAUUCCCUUAUAUACGAGGGUGGAAAUGUGAAAUGGCGGCAUGCAAUCAACGCCACCCAGUGGUAAAUCUCUUCAUACCCCCGCGAUGGCGCUAAGUGCACGUGGGGAUUGAGGUGACUCUGUUAAGUGCGUGCGAGAAUCAGGCAUGCUUCCUCUGUUGAUGCAUGGGACGUGGAGUGGGUGGGACCUAUACCCACUCAUGCACGUCACAUUGACCGCUAGGUCAAGUCUGACACAUGGUCCGGUGGGACCAACUGAUGAGACAGGUCUGCUCUAACAGGACUGUACAGUUUGAACCAUAAAGACGCUAUGCGGGAAUUCAACCCAUGAGGAGCAGACUGCGCGGGAAACAUUUUCGGCACAGGUAGGCUAUCUUCAUCAAUGGCUUAAGACCGAGGUUAAUUACGCUACCCCAAAGGCGGUCUGGCAGCUUGAGACCUAUUACGUGAAGAUGUUGUUAAUUAGGGAGGCUUGGAAGAACAAGUUUCAACCUCGACGACCUAAAGACAAUGUGCAACUUGGUGUUGGCAAGCUUGAACACCAAAUUAGGGCUACUGAUGGUGUCACGGCCCAGGGGUACCUCACCAUGUCAGUUCUCGGCCUGGUGGAGCCCUAGGUCGGUUUCAUCCUGGCUCACUUUGGGCAGCCCGUGACAUUUAUAUGGAAGACUCCAGACGACUUAAUGUACAAGACAAGUGUACGUGAGCUGAGGAGGAGUCUACCUCCACCGAUCUAGUCGACUAGGAUCUGUAAGCCUAGGACCCCUGGUAUGUUGUAUAAGCUGGGGUCGGGCUCGUCGAGAGAUCAUCAGGUAGGUUCCCCUUUGGUAUAUCAUAUCUAAAGCUAAUUUGAUUGAUUUACAAUGAUCCUUUUUUGCAUGAGUAUAGGGAUACAUUUAACCAUGGGGCUCGUAGCUUUCCCAAGGUGGCCACACGAUAUUGGUUCGAUAUCAUGUAUGGCCUCUCUAGCCAGCAUCUUUGCUUGUAUCCUGAACAAUCCUAGAUCUAUAAAGAAAAUCAUGGGUGUAGAAUAAUCCCACACCUGGCAGAUCAAGAUUGGUCGAACAUGAUCCUUAUUUAUAGGAGACAUCUAUUUCUCAAUUGACUAAAAUUUAACGCAAAACUGAUUUAUAAAUUUCUGUAUGAAUCUAAGCAAAAUUUUACCAUGUUGUAAAAAAUGUGUUCAUCUAGUGCAAAGCAGAUGUAGUUUUAACUAAGGCUCCACUGAAUUUACCAUGUUGUAAAAAAGUACUGAGAGUGAUAUAAUAGUUCAUUCAGGCGGAAAUCCAAUUUGGCUCUCGGGUGCACAUGCUAUUGCGCGUGAAAAUAAUUUGGAAAUGUCAAAACAAAUCCAACAAAAAAUUUAUGUGUUCAUAGUCACAUCCAAAUGCUACUUACAAACUCUUAGGCAAAAACUUUAAGCAUUUUGGCCAGUGAAAAAAAUAAAAUUAAAUACCAAAUAUUAAUAACAAAUGUCACCUAAAAUUUGUUUUUUUUUUCACCGACGAAACACUGCCGCUCCGUUCCACAUGAAAAUUGUCAAGGAUGACACUAACACGAACAUUUUCAAAAAGAAACUCAUAUUUUUUUUAAUGUUUACAAUUUUUUUAUGGUUACUGUUCAUGCAGGAGGAUGUGCUCCCAGGAGCCAAAACGCCUCCCCCGUUGUUCAGGUUAGUUAAAAAAUGCAGUAUUACUCUCAGAGUUGUUGGUUUGAUGGUUAUGUCUAUUGAGCGCUAAGAAAUUAUACGACAAUUGAGAAUUAGGAAAACCACUUUUCAUAUCACAGAAACUUAAAUCGAGAUUUCUAUAAGUUUAUUGAGUUGUGUAGUCCAGCCAAAAUCAGUUUGUAUAAUUUAUUAUAAUUUUCCAUAUCUUAGUAGCACAAGGUUUUGGCACAUGAAAGUACAUUGUAUCCAUCAUUUCCAUAGCAUUCACCAUUCGCAACAGCACCAUAUGGAACGGUUGCAAUGACUUUUUUCAAAGUUGUAACCACGCUAUUCACAGCUAAGCUUGCACAUAGCAACAUUGUUGGGCGUUUAUAUCUGGCAUGCUCGGAAAGGAGUACACGAAGUCCACAAUCCAGUUGUACCUACAAACAACAAGGUAUAUAUAGCAUCCCCGUUCAUAUUAGCAUAUGUAGUAUAAGUUGCAUGAGUUUAGAUUAUAUGAAUAUCCAAGGUACAUCAUACAUAAUUGGACUAUUGUAAACAUAAACAAAGAGUGUACCUUUGUUUAUCGUAGUUGCUUGACAUGACCAUAAAGUGCUAGACAUCAUCAGAAGAACUACGAAACAUAUAGCCUAUGUGUUGUUCUUGAUAGGUGCCAUGAGGAGUGGUUUCUUAUUCCUUUUUCCUCCUAUACCUGUAUUCUUUAUGGGCGAUAUCUCUCAACCUAUAUUUCUUAUUGUGUUAUUUAUUAGAGGCAUAAAUCUCGAAGGAC
rnacentral:lncRNA from 1 species